UACGUAGGGUGCAAGCGUUGUCCGGAAUUAUUGGGCGUAAAGAGCUCGUAGGCGGUUUGUCGCGUCUGCUGUGAAAACUCGGGGCUUAACUCCGGGCCUGCAGUGGGUACGGGCAGACUAGAGUGCGGUAGGGGAGACUGGAAUUCCUGGUGUAGCGGUGAAAUGCGCAGAUAUCAGGAGGAACACCGGUGGCGAAGGCGGGUCUCUGGGACGUUACUGACACUAAGGCGCGAAAGCGUGGGGAGCGAACAGG
rnacentral:rRNA from 1 species